UACAGAGACUGCAAGCGUUAUUCGGAUUCACUGGGCGUAAAGGGUGCGCAGGCGGUCGGGUGUGUCAGAUGUGAAAUCCCGAGGCUCAACCUCGGAACUGCGUCCGAAACUACUCGACUAGAGUACUGGAGAGGGUAACGGAAUUCACGGUGUAGCAGUGAAAUGCGUAGAUAUCGUGAGGAACACCAGAGGCGAAGGCGGUUACCUGGACAGUUACUGACGCUCAGGCACGAAAGCAUGGGGAGCAAAAGGG
rnacentral:rRNA from 1 species